rnacentral:rRNA from 1 species
UACGGAGGGUGCGAACGUUAAUCGGAAUCACUGGGCGUAAAGCGCGCGUAGGCGGUUUGUUAAGUGGGAUGUGAAAUCCCCGGGCUUAACCUGGGAAUUGCAUUUCAAACUGGCCGACUAGAGUACGGUAGAGGGAGGUAGAAUUUCCUGUGUAGCGGUGAAAUGCGUAGAUAUAGGAAGGAAUACCAGUGGCGAAGGCGGGUCUCUGGACAGUUCCUGACGCUGAGGCGCGAAGGCCAGGGGAGCAAACGGG